rnacentral:rRNA from 1 species
CCAUGCCGCGUGAACGAAGAAGGUCUUCGGAUCGUAAAGUUCUGUUGUUAGGGAAGAACAAGUGCCGUUCAAACAGGGCGGUACCUUGACGGUACCUAUCGAGGAAGCCCCGGCUAACUACGUGCCAGCAGCCGCGGUAAUACGUAGGGGGCAAGCGUUGUCCGGAAUUAUUGGGCGUAAAGGGCGCGCAGGCGGUUCCUUAAGUCUGAUGUGAAAUCUCGUGGCUCAACCAUGAGCGGUCAUUGGAAACUGGGGAACUUGAGUACAGAAGAGGAGAGCGGAAUUCCACGUGUAGCGGUGAAAUGCGUAGAUAUGUGGAGGAACACCAGUGGCGAAGGCGGCUCUCUGGUCUGUGACUGACGCUGAGGCGCGAAAGCGUGGGGAGCGAACAGGAUUAGAUACCCUGGUAGUCCACGCCGUAAACGUUGAGUGCUAGGUGUUAGGGGGUAUCCGCCCCUUAGUGCUGCAGUUAACGCAUUAAGCACUCCGCCUGGGGAGUACGGCCGCAAGGCUGAAACUCAAAAGAAUUGACGGGGGCCCGCACAAGCGGUGGAGCAUGUGGUUUAAUUCGAAGCAACGCGAAGAACCUUACCAGGUCUUGACAUCUUCGGACGGCCCUAGAGAUAGGGCGUUCCCUUCGGGGACCGAAUGACAGGUGGUGCAUGGUUGUCGUCAGCUCGUGUCGUGAGAUGUUGGGUUAAGUCCCGCAACGAGCGCAACCCUUAAUCUUAGUUGCCAGCAUUGAGUUGGGCACUCUAAGGUGACUGCCGGUGACAAACCGGAGGAAGGUGGGGAUGACGUCAAAUCAUCAUGCCCCUUAUGACCUGGGCUACACACGUGCUACAAUGGAUGGUACAAAGGGCAGCUAAGCGGUGACGCCAAGCAAAUCCCAGAAAACCAUUCUCAGUCCGGAUUGCAGGCUGCAACUCGCCUGCAUGAAGCCGGAAUCGCUAGUAAUCGCGGAUCAGCAUGCCGCGGUGAAUACGUUCCCGGGCCUUGUACACACCGCCCGUCACACCACGAGAGUUGGCAACACCCGAAGUCGGUAGGGUAACCUUUUGGAGCCAGCCGCCGAAGGUGGGGCCAAUGAUUGGGGUGAAGUCGUAACAAGGUAGCCGUAUCGGAAGGUGCGGCU